ensembl:snRNA U2 U2 spliceosomal RNA
AUCGCUUCUCGGCUCCUCGGAGCUAAGAUCAAGUGUAGUAUCUGUUCUUAUCAGUUUAAUAUCUGAUAUGUUCUCGAUAUGAGAACUGUCUAUUAAACAAAUUUUUGGAACAGGGAGUUGGAUUAGGAGCUUGCUCUGUCCACUCCACGCAUCCGCCUGGUAUUGCAGUACUUCUGGGCAGGGUGCACCUCCC